GGAUGUGAGGGCGAUCAGGCUGCGACAUCUGUCACCCCAUUGAUCACCAGGGUUGAUUCGGCUGAUCUGGCUGGCUAGGCGGGUGUCCCCUUCCUCCCUCACCACUCCAUGUGCGUCCCUCCCGAAGCUGUGCGCUCAGUCGAAGAGGACGACCAUGCCCGAUCGAGGAGGACCGGUCUUCUGUCAAGGGUAUAUGAGUAGCUGCACUCCCCUGCUAGAACCUCCAAACAAGCUCUCAAGAGAGGGUGGGAGGGAGGAAGGAAGGAAGGAAGGGAAAGAAAGAAAGAGAAAGAAAU
rnacentral:snRNA from 1 species